GGAUGUGAGGGUGAUCUGGUUGUGACAUCUGUUACCUCACUGAUCACCAGGGUUGAUUCUGUUGACCUGCCUAGCUACACAGAUGUUUCCUUCCUACCACGCUGGUCAAAUGCUCAGUGGAAGAGGAUGACCUUCCCCCCUGGAGAACCAGUCUCUGGUUAACAGUUAUGUGAGUAGCUGCAUUCCUCUGCUAAAACCUCAGACCUCUCAAGAAUACAUAAACAACCAGGACAAAUCAGAUGUCUCCCCUGGAUUGAUACACGGAAGGGGUUGAGGGAGCAGCAAUUCCUCUGUCU
rnacentral:snRNA from 1 species